GUCGUGAAAUUUUUUUCGUGUUCUUGUGAAACAAAUAAAAAUCAAAAUACGUAAUAUAAUAUUAUAAUCUAUAUUGCAAUAAAAAUAUCCUGCGCAAUCGACCCGUCCUAUUUACCGCGACACCGCGUUAUUUUCAUUCGUUUUUUUUUUAUUAUUAUUUCAACCUUCAUAACCGAAGAAAUUAUGCGAAUUUAUUUCGAACGUCACGUUGAUUUUCGGUUUAUACACUAUAUUUUAUACCGAGACAAUAUAAAUUAUUCAUUAAAUUAUAAUACUUUCUCUAUUUUAUAUGUAU